AGUGAACGCUGGCGGCAGGCCUAAUACAUGCAAGUCGAACGGCAGCACAGCAGAGCUUGCUCUGUGGGUGGCGAGUGGCGGACGGGUGAGGAAUACGUGGGAAUCUGCCCAGUCGUGGGGGAUAACGUAGGGAAACUUACGCUAAUACCGCAUGCGCCCUUCGGGGGAAAGCCGGGGACCUUCGGGCCUGGCGCGAUUGGAUGAGCCCACGUCGGAUUAGCUAGUUGGCGGGGUAAAGGCCCACCAAGGCGACGAUCCGUAGCUGGUCUGAGAGGAUGAUCAGCCACACUGGAACUGAGACACGGUCCAGACUCCUACGGGAGGCAGCAGUAGGGAAUAUUGGACAAUGGGCGCAAGUCUGAUCCAGCCAUGCCGCGUGAGUGAAGAAGGCCCUCGGGUUGUAAAGCUCUUUUGUCCGGAAAGAAAAGCGCCGGGUUAAUACCCUGGUGUCCUGACGGUACCGGAAGAAUAAGCACCGGCUAACUUCGUGCCAGCCGCCGCUGUAAUAC
rnacentral:rRNA from 1 species